GACGAACGCUGGCGGCGUGCUUAACACAUGCAAGUCGAACGGUGAAGGUGGGAGCUUGCUCCUGCUGGAUCAGUGGCGAACGGGUGAGUAACACGUGAGUAACCUGCCCUUGACUCUGGGAUAAGCGUUGGAAACGACGUCUAAUACCGGAUACGAGCUUCAGCCGCAUGGCUAGGAGUUGGAAAGAUUUUUCGGUCAAGGAUGGACUAGCGGCCUAUCAGCUUGUUGGUGAGGUAAUGGCUCACCAAGGCGACGACGGGUAGCCGGCCUGAGAGGGUGACCGGCCACACUGGGACUGAGAGACGGCCCAGACUCCUACGGGAGGCAGCAGGGGGGAAUAUUGCACAAUGGGCGCAAGCCUGGUGCAGCAACGCCGCGCGAGGGACGACGGCCUUCGGGUUGUAAACCUUUUUUAGCAGGGAAGAAGCGCAAGUGACGGUACCUGCAGAAAAAGCACCGGCUAACUACGUGCCAGCCGCCGCGGUAACAC
rnacentral:rRNA from 1 species